CUUGGUAACAAUUUGAAGCUAAUUAUCACUCAUGGGCUAGUAACAGACCUGCUGGGAUCCAAAUCUGCUUAAUUUCCUGUGAGGAGUCCAGUGGCAUCUUAAAGACUAACAGAUUUAUUUGGGCAUAAGCUUUACCUACAAAAGCUUAUGCCCAAAUAAAUCUGUUAGUCUUUAAGAUGCCACCAGACUCCUCCUUGUUUUUGUGGAUACAGGCUAACCAGGCUACACCCUGAUACUUAAUUUCCUGUAUAUUUCACAUUCUGAAGCAUAACUUCAACCUAACCAUUUGUCUCUUUUCCCAUCCCCUUUGUGGGGAUGGAGAGGGAUGUUAGAGUCAGCAUGCAACCAGAUAUGUUAGGUAAAAACACAAGAUACUUGUUCCGGAUGAUUGCAACAUAACACUACUUUAUUUGUUAAAAUCCAGAACGUUAAACACUCAAAAACCGAAAACACAGAAAGCAGACUGCUCAGUAAGGCAGACUGGCACAGUUCACCCCACUGUGCUGUACAACAGCUCUUCGCAGACUGCAGAAGACCCAGAUUGCAUGCUUCCCUAUAGAGCCCCCUAGCCUGCAAGCAGGACCAGGAAAUCCCUUAUAAUUUAAAGCAACAGCUUAUAUUAUGAAUAAGGCUAUGUUUGUUUCAGCCCCAGGGGCCGAGGGACUGCAGCUGGCAGCCAUCAGGGCCCAGAAAGGAUUCCAGCAACAGGACAGCCUCCUCACGGGGCCCUCUGCAAGAUUCUAGUGACAGGCGACAGCCUCCUGAGGGGGCCUCCUCAGGGUUCCAGAGAUGGGCUACAGCCUCGCACAGUAAGGGGGGGGGGGGAGAGUAGUGAUGCACAGAGACAUCUUGUUCUUCAUCUCAAGGUGACCCUCCUGCCCAUCUCAAUGGCUCUUACUGGCGGAGAUGAUAGCUCUACAUAAGAAGGUGUCAAACUAAAUUUGAUAUUGUAAUGAGUUCCUAUCCAAUCUCUGCCAUACUACAGAAAUUAGGAAAAUGAUAGCUGGAGGGAAUCCUCUUCCUGUGUCUAAGUCCUGAAAAUCACACUGAAAUGCUGACACCUGCAGCCGUCCUGGAAAGCUGAGAACCAAUUCCUGUAGGGCAUUUGUGGAAGGGGUCAGCUUUUCCUAGUCCUCAAAGUCUGAAAUAGUAUCUUGUGGCGAUAGCAUUGAGGGAUAAGGGCUUACAGAGUUCUACAUCAGCAGAGUAUACUGAAACAGCAUGAACUGGUGAAAGGUUGAGAGAAAGUAAAGACCAGCCUCAUCCAUUAGCUCCUGAUUUAGAGAAGACAACAUCCAGCGCUUGCUUUUGAUGACAGGCGUAGAUGUUGACAAUAAACAGUGUCCUAAAAUCACAGAUAACCAGCCAGCAAGCCAUGAGCUCAAUUACACUUGUAAAUCAGAAGACUGAGGGGUUUUUUGGUAUGUCAUUCUUUAUUGAAGUGUUGCUGUGAAAUAUAAACAAAAGAAAAUAAUUUUGAAAUGUUGGAAGACAAUAUUAGGGGUUGUGUGCAGAAAUACUAUCCAGCAUUAAAUUAAUUGUA